rnacentral:rRNA from 1 species
UGGGGAAUAUUGGACAAUGGGGGCAACCCUGAUCCAGCCAUGCCGCGUGAGUGAUGAAGGCCUUCGGGUUGUAAAGCUCUUUUGGCGGGGACGAUGAUGACGGUACCCGCAGAAUAAGCCCCGGCUAACUUCGCGCCAGCAGCCGCGGUAAGACGAAGGGGGCUAGCGUUGUUCGGAAUUACUGGGCGUAAAGCGAGUGUAGGCGGUUGCCGUAGUCAGGUGUGAAAGCCUUGAGCUCAACUCAAGAAAUGCACUUGAUACUGGGUGACUAGAGGACCGGAGAGGAUAGUGGAAUUCCCAGUGUAGUGGUGAAAUACGUAGAGAUUGGGAAGAACACCAGUGGCGAAGGCGGCUAUCUGGACGGUUACUGACGCUAAGACUCGAAAGCGUGGGGAGCAAACAGGAUUAGAUACCCUGGUAGUCCACGCCGUAAACGAUGGGUGCUAGACGUUGGCGAGCUUGCUCGUCAGUGUCGCAGCUAACGCGUUAAGCACCCCGCCUGGGGAGUACGGCCGC